rnacentral:ncRNA from 2 species
ACAUUCCUUCGGGGCAGGGUGAAAUUCCCGACCGGCGGUGACCAUGCCUUAGCGCAUGGCAAGCCCGCGAGCCUCCCGAGCUGUCACAAGCGACGGAGUGCAGGAUCUGGUGAGAAUCCAGAGCCGACAGUACAGUCUGGAUGGGAGAAGGAUGAC